rnacentral:tRNA from 1 species
GCCUUAGUAGCUUAGCACCGACCAAAAGCAUUGGCCUUGUAAACCAAAGACGGGCCUAACGCCCCUAAGACA